UACGUAGGGUGCGAGCGUUGUCCGGAAUUAUUGGGCGUAAAGAGCUUGUAGGCGGUUUGUCGCGUCUGCCGUGAAAGCCCAGGGCUUAACCCUGGGUCUGCGGUGGGUACGGGCAGACUAGAGUGUGGUAGGGGAGACUGGAAUUCCUGGUGUAGCGGUGAAAUGCGCAGAUAUCAGGAGGAACACCGAUGGCGAAGGCAGGUCUCUGGGCCACUACUGACGCUGAGAAGCGCAAGCAUGGGGAGCAAACAGG
rnacentral:rRNA from 1 species